ensembl:lncRNA
UUUAAUCCGUGUCUAUCAUCAGCGAUCUCUUAUCAAGUAGAAUGCAGCAUGACCUCUUUUUAGGGUAGUCAAAGCAAACUGAAACUAGUUUACACAAAAACCUCUUUGAAUUCUAUUUUGUAUAACCAGUCUGGAAUGCUUUGCUGUUCAUGGGGUCCCAAUGUCUUCACAGGAAGGUGAUUCCUCCCUUUACUACUGUGGAUCAAGACAAAAUAAUGAAUGUUGAAAAGUGUUGCUGUUCAUGGGUUUCAGGCAGCAGCAGUGGCAGCCCAUUCAGUUUUUCCUCAGAGAGAAACAGAUGGACAUUGUGUCACUUGGCCAUUAUAGCACCUCUAUGUGGCCAUGUUGACCUCACUGCCAUGAUGAUGUCAUCCAGCAUGCUGUCAAGGCCAAGCCAAAUCCAGAGCAGUGGGUGACCCUGGCCAGCCAGUAUGUAUCCCUGGUUGCACAUGGCUCAUUCAGCCUCUCAUUGACAGAAGACAGCAGUGCACACUAUAACGGCAUGACAUGACAAAUCAAAUCAAUCCAAAUGUGAAUUACUAAUGUGAUUAUUUAGCUGAGGUAAGAAAAUAAAUGACUCCACUGUGUUAUUCAGACAUGGAGAGUUAGACGAGCGUUAGUUGAUUCCAUAGACAUACAUUUCAUAGGAGGUUGGUGGCACUUUAAUUGAGGAGGAGCGGAAUGAGUGGAAUGGUAUGAAAUAUAUAAAACAUGGUUUCCAUGUGUUUGAUGCCAUUCCAUUUGCUCCGAGCCAUCCUCCUCUCAGCAGCCUCCACUGAUAUACUGUACAUCAUUGGUUCAGUCUAACAACAACAUGAUUAUUUGCAUUCCUUCAGAGUGCCUACACUGUCGACAUGUUUGUGGACAUAUUUAAAAGAGAUCUUAAAACACACAUUUAUAGCUUUGCUUUUCCUUAGCGUGCUUUUAGGCAUUCAGUUUUUAUUAUUAUUUAAUUUUUUAUCCUCUUCUGUUUGUUGUGUC